rnacentral:rRNA from 1 species
UACGGAGGGUGCUAGCGUUGUUCGGAAUCACUGGGCGUAAAGGGCGUGUAGGCGGUCUGCUAAGUCCGAUGUGAAAUCCCCUCGCUCAACGAGGGAACUGCGUCGGAUACUGGUAGGCUAGAGUACCGGAGAGGAAGGUGGAAUUCCCGGUGUAGCGGUGAAAUGCGUAGAUAUCGGGAGGAACAUCGGUGGCGAAGGCGGCCUUCUGGACGGAUACUGACGCUGAGACGCGAAAGCGUGGGGAGCAAACAGG